CAGCCGCCGCGGGAAUACAGAGGGUGCGAGCGUUAAUCGGAUUUACUGGGCGUAAAACGUGCGUAGGCGGCUUCUUAAGUCGGAUGUGAAAUCCCUGAGCUUAACUUAGGAAUUGCAUUCGAUACUGGGAAGCUAGAGUAUGGGAGAGGAUGGUAGAAUUCCAGGUGUAGCGGUGAAAUGCGUAGAGAUCUGGAGGAAUACCGAUGGCGAAGGCAGCCAUCUGGCCUAAUACUGACGCUGAGGUACGAAAGCAUGGGGAGCAAACAGGAUUAGAUACCCCAGUAGUCCCUGUCUCUUAUAC
rnacentral:rRNA from 1 species